GCGAGGGUGGCGGAACUGGCAGACGCGCCAGACUUAGGAUCUGGUGGGUAAUUCCAUGGGGGUUCAACUCCCCCCCCUCGCA
rnacentral:tRNA from 2 species